UACGUAGGGUCCAAGCGUUAUCCGGAAUCACUGGGCGUAAAGCGUGCGUAGGCGGGAGUCUAAGUGUGGUGUUAAAUCGUGUGGCUCAACCAUAUCGAUGCAUCGCAUACUGGGCACCUAGAGGAAGGCAGAGGCAAGUGGAAUUACGAGUGUAGCAGUGAAAUGCGCUAGAUAUUCGUAGGAACACCAAUGGCGAAGGCAGCUUGCUGGGCCUUUCUGACGCUGAGGUACGAAGCGUGGGGAGCGAACAGG
rnacentral:rRNA from 1 species